rnacentral:rRNA from 1 species
AGUGAACGCUGGCGGUAGGCCUAACACAUGCGAGUCGAACGGCAGCACAGUAAGAGCUUGCUCUUACGGGUGGCGAGUGGCGGACGGGUGAGGAAUACAUCGGAAUCUACUUUUUCGUGGGGGAUAACGUAGGGAAACUUACGCUAAUACCGCAUACGACCUACGGGUGAAAGCAGGGGAUCUUCGGACCUUGCGCGAUUGAAUGAGCCGAUGUCGGAUUAGCUAGUUGGCGGGGUAAAGGCCCACCAAGGCGACGAUCCGUAGCUGGUCUGAGAGGAUGAUCAGCCACACUGGAGCUGAGACACGGUCCAGACUCCUACGGGAGGCAGCAGUGGGGAAUAUUGGACAAUAGGCGCAAGCCUGAUCCAGCCAGACCGCGUGGGUGAAGAAGGCCUUCGAGUUGUAAAGCCCUUUUGUUGGGAAAGAAAAGCAGCAGGUUAAUACCCCGCUGUUCUGACGGUACCCAAAGAAUAAGCACCGGCUAACUUCGUG